rnacentral:rRNA from 1 species
UGCAGUCGAGCGGUAGAGAGAAGCUUGCUUCUCUUGAGAGCGGCGGACGGGUGAGUAAUGCCUAGGAAUCUGCCUGGUAGUGGGGGAUAACGUUCGGAAACGGACGCUAAUACCGCAUACGUCCUACGGGAGAAAGCAGGGGACCUUCGGGCCUUGCGCUAUCAGAUGAGCCUAGGUCGGAUUAGCUAGUUGGUGGGGUAAUGGCUCACCAAGGGACGAUCCGUAACUGGUCUGAGAGGAUGAUCAGUCACACUGGAACUGAGACACGGUCCAGACUCCUACGGGAGGCAGCAGUGGGGAAUAUUGGACAAUGGGCGAAAGCCUGAUCCAGCCAUGCCGCGUGUGUGAAGAAGGUCUUCGGAUUGUAAAGCACUUUAAGUUGGGAGGAAGGGCAGUAGAUUAAUACUCUGCUGUUUUGACGUUACCGACAGAAUAAGCACCGGCUAACUCUGUGCCAGCAGCCGCGGUAAUACAGAGGGUGCAAGCGUUAAUCGG